AAUUCGAAGCAACGCGAAGAACCUUACCAGGCCUUGACAUGCAGAGAACUUUCCAGAGAUGGAUUGGUGCCUUCGGGAACUCUGACACAGGUGCUGCAUGGUUGUCGUCAGCUCGUGCGUGAGAUGUUGGGUUAAGUCCCGUAACGAGCGCAACCCUUGUCCUUAGUUACCAGCACGUUAUGGUGGGCACUCUAAGGAGACUGCCGGUGACAAACCGGAGGAAGGUGGGGAUGACGUCAAGUCAUCAUGGCCCUUACGGCCUGGGCUACACACGUGCUACAAUGGUCGGUACAAAGGGUUGCCAAGCCGCGAGGUGGAGCUAAUCCCAUAAAACCGAUCGUAGUCCGGAUCGCAGUCUGCAACUCGACUGCGUGAAGUCGGAAUCGCUAGUAAUCGUGAAUCAGAAUGUCACGGUGAAUACGUUCCCGGGCCUU
rnacentral:rRNA from 1 species